GUGCGCUCAGGCAGCCUCCGGCCAGCCGCACACUCCGGCCUGCUCGUUUAUUUAUGGUGCUUUAUCAGGGGCUGUGCACCGCGGCGAUAAAGUUUAUGAAAAGAGGCGGCGUCUCCGGCGGCGGGCUGGGCCCGGGCGCUCCUUUCCCACACUGAUUAGGAUCAGCCGGGACUUUGGAAGCGGCAGUUAAGGAUCAGGGUGCCGGGAGCUGGCUCGCCUUCCUGCCGCGCCCAGCCUGGCCGGCUGCUGGCCCGCGUGGGUGGGAGGUCCGCGCUGUGACCCGGCACGGGGCGGGCGCAGGGUAGCCUGGAAAAUCCAGCGCCCAGAUCCCAGCUGAAGCCGUGGACCCGGACUCGGGAGCCAUUUCUCUUUUGAAUGUGGCAGCUCCGAUCCCGUGUUUUUUUUUUUUUUUUAAACUUUUCCUCCUCCCUGUUCUUUCAGUGUGCCUUUGGGCCCCUCCUUUCCUUGGGCACUCGAAUCUCUGCAGUGAGAAGACCUUUAAUAGCUUGCAGAGAUAAAUUCGGGAUUACUAGUUCCGGUCCGGGGCCUCUCAGAGUCUCAAAGGGUGGAUUACAGUGUAACCCACAGCCUAGGGUUAUAAAGCUCCGAAGCAGGCACCGAGGCUGGCCCUUGCCUGGGUCUUACUGACUUCCUUAAUCUGUGGUGACCUCAGGGAGGUGACACUCCUAGCCAGAACAUUUCACUGAGUGAUAUAAAAUGACUCAGAAAGGCAGUGGCUGAACUUCAGUUGGACCUUAGUGGCAGGAAGUGCGGCUCGGUGGUGGCUCAAGGGAGAUGCAAAGUGACCCUCACGCUCCCAGUACCUUCCAUGUCCUGAUGACAUUCCUUCAGAGCAUGAGCCAAAGUGAACCCUUACUUCCUUGAGCUGCUAAGUAUUACAUCACGGCAAAGAGAAAUAUAACUCACAGAACUCCAUGCUCGCUAGACACGGUGGUGGGAAGAUACUUGUCAUUGGACUUAAUGCCACCUAGCAAACCAAGAUGAUUUUGACCGGGAAGACUUAAUUGCAUCUCUGAAGACCACUUCCACUCCUACUAAGGUUACUUAAUAAGUGCUGAGUCUCGCACAGAAAUUCAACCUGCAUUCAACCCACCAUAGGGGACGCAAGACAGGAUUUCUCCAUAUAGCUCUGGAUGUCCUGGAACUCACUCUGUAAACUAAGCUGGCCUCAAACUCACAGUGUCUAUGAGUGCUGAGAUUCAAGGCAUGCACCACCACUGCCUGGUAAUUUCUCGAUUAUUCUUUUCUUUCCUUUUUAGACAUUUUUAAAAAGAUUUAUUUAUUUGUUUAUCUGAGUAUACUGUAGCUGUCUUCAGACACACAGAAGAGAGCAUCAGAUCCCAUUACAGAUGGUUGUGAGCCACCAUGUGGUUGCUGGGAUUUGAACUCAGGACCUCUGGAAGAGCAGUCAGUGCUCUUAACUGCUGAGCCAUCUCUCCAGCCCUCUUGAUUAUUCUUAACUAGCGCUUUUAUUAUUUCAGUUCAAUUAGAAUUUUUAAACUUUCACAUAGAUUUAAAUUAGUGAGUAUUAACACUCACACAUUUUCUUUCCCUGGUGGUAAUUUUAAAUUAAAAUAAUAACUUUCAUAUAUUUCUAGAUUAUAAAAUGUACAUAGGCUCAUCAUAUGCAAUUUUUAAACAAAAUGUGUGAGAGAUGGCUCAGUGAUUAUGAGUACUUCCUGCUCUUGCAUAAAAAGGACCAAAACCAGUUACAUUCUCUGUAUAAUUCAGAUAGUUCACAACUUCCUGUACUGACAACUGUACAGGAUUUGACCCUCUCUUCUGGCUUCUGCGGGCACCCCCCCCAAAUAAUGACAAUAAUUAAUUAAUAAAGCUUUAAAUAAAUGCAGGAAGAAAGAAGGAAGCCACCACUAGCCCAUGCUCCAGAGGGGGUCACUAUCAAUUAAGCUGCCCCCUAAACCUCCAGGUUCCACAUGGCCAUAUAACUGUGGGUGAAAAUGUAUCCUUUUAAGACCCAUCUACACUCAGGACUGGAGGGUGGUUACGAACACUGUCUAUUCUUCCAGAGAUCUUGAUUCCUAGGAGGCUCACAACCGUCUGGACUGGAUCUGACGUCCUCUUCUGGUGUGUAGGCUUACAAGCAGAUAGGGCACUAAUAUAUGCAAAAUAAACAAAUGAAUCUUUUAUUAAAAAAAAAAUCCCAAUUUCUGGGACAACCCCCUGACAAGCUCCUUUAUUUUGACAUCUAUACAACUUUGGAAAACUUUGUUUCCCAACUUUUCCAGAAAAGCAUUUAGAUCAAUGUCUUUGGUUUUUUAAGUAUAGUUUUUCUAAAUCGACUUUUUUUUUUUGUUUUAGUAACUUUCUCUUGGGGUCUCUUCUCCUCUUGUUUAGUAGCCUGAACUUAUUAUUCUAGCUCAUUGCCCAUAGUUACAUGGAUUUGACUCCAUUGAGCUCCUGUGUCAAAAAAAAAAACCCAAACUUUAGUUUUCUUAAAGAUAGUAAAUUAGGUUUUUAUGGUUUUUUUGUUUGUUUGUUUUCUUUCUCUGUUUUUUUGUUGUUGUUCAGAAAGGGAAUUAGGACAAUAGUUCUAAAUUUAGCUGAAUAAGGUGGAAGAAAUCAAACCAAACUAAAACAAAACAACACAAAAACACACAAACAACCCCUCCCCCUUACUCUUGGAUGUGACUCAUUCUUAUGACUGAUGUAUGCUGGGAACCAGGUAGUGUGAGAAGAAGAGCGAGAGUUCAGGCUGCCUGUAAAAGCCAGGAGCUUGCCAGGCCUCCAGUCCCCAGAGGUAUGAGGGGAGCAGAGGAGCCCUGAGAGGGCAGAGAGCUAAGGGCAGUGCUGUUUGCCCUCCUCUGGCUUUCAACACUUGGUAAAGGCCUAAUCUCAUUUUGAUUUAAACCACAGUAAUUUGUUUACUUACAUCAACAUGUGUAAAGCCUGACAAAGCGUCUUGCACUUGAUAAGCAGGAAACAUCUAAUUUCCCUGGUGAGUGCUGGUUCUGGACCGUUUGUAUCUUUCUGCACAGUAAAUAAGACCUUGGUGGUCUGGGUCCAAGCACACCUGUUCUGGGCCUCGAGUUUGCUUCUAAUUAGCACUCAGACCUUAGCAAACUUGCUUAACGACUCUGGAGCUGGUUUCUUACUUGUAAAAUAGAAUCAUAAUAGUUUCCACCUUACUGAGAAAUGGAAAGAGUUAAGCAGACACAUCCCCAUAAUGAUGUCUCCUAUCCCCCAAGGGCUUGCUUCACUUGGGGGUGGGGGCGCGAGAUUUUGGUAAGGCCACCUGUCACUGAGCACAGCAGUUUUGGUCCAAGGUUGGCUAGACUGCCUGCUUUGGCUCUGAGGUGAAGCAGGAUACUAUAGAGACUAUGCAGAUGCAUCAUGGGAGCAAGGAAU